rnacentral:rRNA from 1 species
AGUGAACGCUGGCGGUAGGCCUAACACAUGCAAGUCGAACGGCAGCACAGUAAGAGCUUGCUCUUACGGGUGGCGAGUGGCGGACGGGUGAGGAAUACAUCGGAAUCUACUUUUUCGUGGGGGAUAACGUAGGGAAACUUACGCUAAUACCGCAUACGACCUACGGGUGAAAGCAGGGGAUCUUCGGACCUUGCGCGAUUGAAUGAGCCGAUGUCGGAUUAGCUGGUUGGCGGGGUAAAGGCCCACCAAGGCGACGAUCCGUAGCUGGUCUGAGAGGAUGAUCAGCCACACUGGAACUGAGACACGGUCCAGACUCCUACGGGAGGCAGCAGUGGGGAAUAUUGGACAAUGGGCGCAAGCCUGAUCCAGCCAUACCGCGUGGGUGAAGAAGGCCUUCGGGUUGUAAGGCCCUUUUGUUGGGAAAGAAAAGCAGCAGGUUAAUACCCCGCUGUUCUGACGGUACCCAAAGAAUAAGCACCGGCUAACUUCGUG